rnacentral:rRNA from 1 species
UACAGAGGGUGCGAGCGUUGUUCGGAUUCACUGGGCGUAAAGGGUGCGUAGGUGGCCAGGUAAGUUUGGUGUGAAAGCUCGGAGCUUAACUCCGAAAAGUCAUUGAAUACUAUCUGGCUGGAGGGUCGGAGGGGAGACUGGAAUUCUCGGUGUAGCAGUGAAAUGCGUAGAUAUCGAGAGGAACACCAGUGGCGAAGGCGAGUCUCUGGACGACUCCUGACACUGAGGCACGAAAGCUAAGGGGAGCAAACAGG